rnacentral:rRNA from 1 species
CCUUUAUAAUAUAAAAGGUGUAACCUGCCCAAUGAUAUAAAAAUAAUUAUAAACGAUUUAAGUAUUAUUUAAUGGAUGCAGUAACUCUGACUGUAAUAAAGUAGCAUAAUAAAUUGCCAUUUAAUUGAUGGAUGGAAUGAAUGGUUAAACGAAUUUUUCACUGUCUUAGAAAAAAUUUUUUAAAAUUGAAAUAAUAGUUAAGAUGCUAUUUAAAAUUGUAAGACGAAGAGACCCUAUAGAGCUUUACUAUAAAUUUUCUUUAAUAAUAACUAGAAAAUUUGGUAGUUUAGUUGGGGCGACUGUUUUUUAAAAAUAACAAAAAUAAGCAAUGUAAUAAUAUUAUUUAUUGUAUAAUUAAAUUAUUUAACAAUUACUAUAGUAGGCUAUAUGACCCGUUAUUAUAUAAAAUAAUAAAUAACGAUUAAUUAAUAAAAGCUACCUUAGGGAUAACAGGAUAAUUUUAUUUUAGAGUUCUUAUCAAAAAUAAAGUUUGUCACCUCUAUGUUGAAUUAAGAUAUCCUAAUAAUGCAGUAGUUAUUGAGGGUAGGUCUGUUCGACCUUUAAAAU